GAUGAACGCUAGCUACAGGCUUAACACAUGCAAGUCGAGGGACCGGCGCACGGGUGAGUAACACGUAUCCAACCUGCCCUUUACUCGGGGAUAGCCUUUCGAAAGAAAGAUUAAUACCCGAUAUAAAGGAUGGGGAUGCGUUCCAUUAGGUUGUUGGUGAGGUAACGGCCCACCAAGCCUUCGAUGGAUAGGGGUUCUGAGAGGAAGGUCCCGCACAUUGGAACUGAGACACGGUCCAAACUCCUACGGGAGGCAGCAGUUAGGAAUAUUGGUCAAUGGGCGUUAGUCUGAAACAGCCAAGUAUCGUGAAGGAUUAAGGCUUAUGGGUCGUAAACUUCUUUUAUAGAAGAAUAUGUAUUAUAUGAAUAAGGAUCGGCUAACUCCGUGCAAGCAGCCGCGGUAAUUC
rnacentral:rRNA from 1 species